GCUCCAGUGGCGCAAUCGGUUAGCGCGCGGUACUUAUAUGGCAGUAACUGUUGGCCAAUGCCGAGGUUGUGAGUUCAAGCCUCACCUGGAGCA
rnacentral:tRNA from 1 species